GUGCUCGCUUCGGCAGCACAGACACUAAAAAUUGGAACGACACAGAGAAGAUUAGCAUGGCCCCCGCACAAGGGUGACACCCAAAUUUGUGAAGUGUUCCAUACUUAA